rnacentral:rRNA from 1 species
AGAGUUUGAUCAUGGCUCAGGAUGAACGCUGGCGGCGUGCUUAACACAUGCAAGUCGAACGAAGCACCUUGAUUUGAUUUUUCGGAUGAAGAUCCUGGUGACUGAGUGGCGGACGGGUGAGUAACGCGUGGGUAACCUGCCUCAUACAGGGGGAUAACAGUUAGAAAUGACUGCUAAUACCGCAUAAGACCACAGCACCGCAUGGUGCAGGGGUAAAAACUCCGGUGGUAUGAGAUGGACCCGCGUCUGAUUAGGUAGUUGGUGGGGUAACGGCCUACCAAGCCGACGAUCAGUAGCCGACCUGAGAGGGUGACCGGCCACAUUGGGACUGAGACACGGCCCAAACUCCUACGGGAGGCAGCAGUGGGGAAUAUUGCACAAUGGGGGAAACCCUGAUGCAGCGACGCCGCGUGAGCGAUGAAGUAUCUCGGUAUGUAAAGCUCUAUCAGCAGGGAAGAAAAUGACGGUACCUGACUAAGAAGCACCGGCUAAAUACGUGCCAGCAGCCGCGGUAAUACGUAUGGUGCAAGCGUUAUCCGGAUUUACUGGGUGUAAAGGGAGCGUAGACGGAGUGGCAAGUCUGAUGUGAAAAUCCGGGGCUCAACCCCGGGACUGCAUUGGAAACUGUCAAUCUAGAGUACCGGAGAGGUAAGCGGAAUUCCUAAUGUAGCGGUGAAAUGCGUAGAUAUUAGGAGGAACACCAGUGGCGAAGGCGGCUUACUGGACGGUAACUGACGUUGAGGCUCGAAAGCGUGGGGAGCAAACAGGAUUAGAUACCCUGGUAGUCCACGCCGUAAACGAUGACUACUAGGUGUCGGGCAGCAAAGCUGUUCGGUGCCGCAGCAAACGCAAUAAGUAGUCCACCUGGGGAGUACGUUCGCAAGAAUGAAACUCAAAGGAAUUGACGGGGACCCGCACAAGCGGUGGAGCAUGUGGUUUAAUUCGAAGCAACGCGAAGAACCUUACCUGCUCUUGACAUCUCCCUGACCGGCAAGUAAUGUUGCCUUUCCUUCGGGACAGGGAUGACAGGUGGUGCAUGGUUGUCGUCAGCUCGUGUCGUGAGAUGUUGGGUUAGUCCCGCAACGAGCGCAACCCCUAUCUUUAGUAGCCAGCGGUUUGGCCGGGCACUCUAGAGAGACUGCCAGGGAUAACCUGGAGGAAGGUGGGGAUGACGUCAAAUCAUCAUGCCCCUUAUGAGCAGGGCUACACACGUGCUACAAUGGCGUAAACAAAGGGAGGCAGAACCGCGAGGUCGAGCAAAUCCCAAAAAUAACGUCUCAGUUCGGAUUGUAGUCUGCAACUCGACUACAUGAAGCUGGAAUCGCUAGUAAUCGCGAAUCAGAAUGUCGCGGUGAAUACGUUCCCGGGUCUUGUACACACCGCCCGUCACACCAUGGGAGUCAGUAACGCCCGAAGUCAGUGACCCAACCGUAAGGAGGGAGCUGCCGAAGGUGGGACCGAUAACUGGGGUGAAGUCGUAACAAGGUA